AUAAUUCUCUACAUUGCAAUUGGUUCAUUGUUAGGAACCUAAUAUCUCUCAUUUAAGAACUUUUUAUGCUAUGUGUUCUUCGUUGUCCAGUAGACAACACUUAGAUGAGAUUAAAAGUGAAACGACUCGUUUCAUUAUAUAUUAAUUCCUAUAAUCUUUAUUGUUAUAAAAAUAUGAUUAGGAGAAAGGAUAUAAAAAAAAAACUAAAAAAAAAAAUUAUUACUCCUUACUCAAAAUCCACGUAACAGUACCCCACCCCCCAUUACUAAUCCUAAAUCCUAACAUUUGCAAAUUGUCUCUCUCACUCUAUGUCUCGUAUUUCUUUUCCCUUUGCCUCUAGGAUAACAACAACCUUCGCUUCUCUUCUUCACUUUCUUGGUCUUCUUUUGCUAAACUGCACAAAAUCUCACCGUGCAAAAUACACACCCAUGAAGGAGAAUUUCAAUAUUCAUGUGGAAGGGAUUUGGAGAUAAAUAUUUUGGGAGUUAGGGUUUGUGCUCCGAAGGAGAAGAGUACCCGCUCUUUCAGAACUGGUUAUUUGGUUUACUGAGAUUUAUCGGCUAGUGGUUCGAUCGGUUGGCGUGGAGAUUUUGAGAGCGGUUCAGUUGACUCGCCGUAGUUAUUCUCAGGCAACUGAGUAGCAGACUGUUGUCAGUUUCAGAUCAUUCAGCUUAUUUCCUUUGGCAGGUUGUCAUAUUGGUGUCUUUUAUGCAAUCUUGGUCAUCUGCAGCUAUAGGGAGUCCUAGGUGGAUUUAAAUUUGGGAUUGUUAUUUGUUAUUUUUUUUUCAAGAGUUGGCACUUGAGUGCUCGAGUUGAUUUUAUAUUUUACUUGAAAUACUAGCUA